rnacentral:rRNA from 1 species
UGGGGAAUAUUGGACAAUGGGCGCAAGCCUGAUCCAGCCAUGCCGCGUGAGUGAUGAAGGCCUUAGGGUUGUAAAGCUCUUUUAGUGGGGAAGAUAAUGACGGUACCCACAGAAAAAGCCCCGGCUAACUUCGUGCCAGCAGCCGCGGUAAUACGAAGGGGGCUAGCGUUGUUCGGAUUUACUGGGCGUAAAGCGCACGUAGGCGGAUUGUUAAGUCAGGGGUGAAAUCCUGGAGCUCAACUCCAGAACUGCCUUUGAUACUGGCAAUCUCGAGUCCGGAAGAGGUGAGUGGAACUCCUAGUGUAGAGGUGGAAUUCGUAGAUAUUAGGAAGAACACCAGUGGCGAAGGCGGCUCACUGGUCCGGUACUGACGCUGAGGUGCGAAAGCGUGGGGAGCAAACA